GCCUGGCAUAGCUCAGUCAGUAGAGCAUGAGACUCUCAACCCUAGGGUUGUGGGUUUGACCCCCAUGUUGAGCU